AGAACGAACGCUGGCGGCAGGCCUCAAACAUGCAAGUCUAGGGGAUGUAGCAAUACAUCACCGGCGGACGGGUGCGUAACACGUGGGAAUAUACCUUUCGGUACGGAACAACUGCGGGAAACUGCAGCUAAUACCGUAUACGUCCUUACGGAGAAAGAUUUAUCGCCGAAGGAUUAGCCCGCGUUCGAUUAGCUAGUUGGUGAGGUAAUGGCUCACCAAGGCGACGAUCGAUAGCUGUUCUGAGAGGAAGAUCAGCCACACUGGGACUGAGACACGGCCCAGACUCCUACGGGAGGCAGCAGUUGGGAAUCUUGGACAAUGGGGGAAACCCUGAUCCAGCCAUGCCGCGUGAGUGAUGAAGGCCUUCGGGUUGUAAAGCUCUUUUACCCGGAAGAUAAUGACUGUACCGGAGAAUAAGCUCCGGCUAACUUCGCGCCAGCAGCCGC
rnacentral:rRNA from 1 species